GUAUCCAGGCAGAAGGACCUGACACAGGUUGUGACAGGGAGAAGUGAAACCAGGGCAGAUGGGGGCUCCCCAACACUGGGCUUCCCCGCCCCCGACGCCGCCCUGGGGCCAGAGUCCCUGAGAGGCGGGCCUGGGGACCUGGGACUUGGCCUGGGCGCCUCACCUACUGCACAGAGCGCUCUUUGUCACACUGUGUCCCUGAGUCCUGGAUCAGGAGCUGUGUGAGUCACUGAUUCUGCAGCAUUUUGUUCUCAGGAUAUCUCUACAGUCUUACAAAUUAGUGAGGAUCCCAGGGAUAACUGUGUGCCUGUGGAUUCUAUCGAUCCUUAUUUACCACAGUAGGAAUAAAACAGGUUCAAAUAUUUAUUAAUUCAUUUUCAAUCAUAUGAAAACAGAAAUAUUGUUUGUAUGGGAAGUGACAUGUUCCCAAAUAAAAGGGGCAGUGAGAAUAGUGGUUUUGUUGCAUUUUACAUUUUUGCAAGCCUCUUUCUUGUCUGUCUCGUUAGAAGACCACUGGAUGUUCAGAUUUGCUUCUGCAUCUAUUGUGUUGUUUUGGCUAAAGUAGAUGAAAAAAUUUAUGUCCUUGACCACAUAUAGAAAAAUAGCAUGUGUCACAACCUUUUCAGAUAAUUAUGGAUAUUCAUCCUUGAUUCUAUAUUAAAACUACACACCGUGUGUUUUCUGUGAGGUUAUUUGCAAAUUGGGACCUGAAACAGUAUCAUUGACUGUGUCUUUCUCUGUUACAUUAAAUUCAUAGGCCCAUCUGUACAUGGAAUGGAUCUUGUACUAAUGCAUGAAUGUUUUUAAAUAACAUGUUGUGUGUUGUUUCACUAAGUAAUACAGGUGUUCCAACACUGAUUAGAGUGGAAUUGAAUUCUCAAAAAGUCAUUUGUUUUGGGGCACCUGGGUGGCUCAGUUGGUUAAGCAUCCGGCUUUGGCUCAGGUCAUGAUGUCACGGUCCGUGAGUUCAAGCCCCGCCUGGGACACUGCUAACAGCUCUGAGCCUGGAGGCUGCUUAGGAUUCUGUGUUUCCCUGUCUCCCUGCCCUACCCCUGCUUGCACUCUGUCUCUCUCUUUCUCUCAAAAUGAAUAAACAUUAAAAAAAAAUUUUUUUAAGUCAUUUGUUUUAAUAUCACAAAUCCCAACAAACAAGGUGGUCAGUACUGAGAAGCUGUCAAGCUUCUAGGUGGAUCACAGUUUAAAUGGGAUGGGCUUCAUGGGUGAUGGGUUCUAAGGAGGGCACUUGUGAUGAGCACUGGGUGUUGUAUGUAAGUAAUGAAUCACUCAAUUCUACUCUUGAAACUAAUAUUAAACUGUAUGUUAACUAACUGGAAUUUAAAUAAAAACUUGAGAUAAACAAAGUAAUGGUAAAAGCAGCGAUUGCUCAGUAACCAGCAUAGGGAGAUAUUCGGUAUUUUGUGGGUCGUACGGUGCCUUGUUUUUGUCCGUAAUUGGACAAAGUUUUGUCAUGGUUUCACAGUCUCCUUGUGUGCUGUCGAUGUUCUGUGAGAUGACUGGCUCAUUCCCACAGGAAUAACAUGGCCCAGUGUCAGCCAGCUUCUGACCACACUGAGGCCCAGCUGUCAGUGUCAGACCAGUUCCCAAUUGAGGACUGCUGUUUCUUCUGUCUUUAAUUCCAUAUUUUAAAGUAGCUAACAUCCAUCAAUAAUAAUUAAAGGGUAGGACUCCUGAUCUCAUGGUUUGUGAGAUGGAGCCCUCUGUCAGGCUCUGCACUGAUAGAGUGGAGCCUGCUUGGGAUUCUCUCUCUUGAUCUCUCUGUCUCUGUUCCCCCACCCCACCCCACCCCCGCUCAUACUCACUCUGUCUCUCUCUGUCUUAAAAUAAAUAAAUAAACUUUAAAAAAAAUCUGGAAGGACUUUUAAAUCCUUAAAUAUUCCAGUAUACAUUGGCCCUGUUAGUGUUCUUAAAUAUGUUUAUUUCUUCUUGUAUCACAUCCUGAGGAGAAGCUUUCUCUCAGCUUAUGGAUUGUGCAACUUUUGACACUAAAACUACUCCCAGAAUUAGGGUAGGUCUUAGGUUAAUGUUUCAUAAGCCGGAAUAUCGGUCACGGUCGUUCCAGACCCUAGUUCCAAUACUUAUCCCUUUGUCAUGGAGUACUCCUUCCUGUCUCCUAACAUGUCUGCCAGAUUUGGUUACUCUUCUCUGUAUCUCCUCAGAGGCCGAUUUGCUCAGGAAAAUGUGAAGCAAAGGAGAGAAAGGAAGAGUAAUUAUCUUUAGAGGAAAAAAGGAAUCAUGUAGCGGGGAAUAAGAGGGACUUAGUAGGAUUCAUGUGGAGGGUAUACUUCCGGAAAUCUCCCACUCUGGUACAUUGUCACUCUCCCCUCCACACACACACCCAUGGGCCCACAUCCCCCUACUUUCCACACACAGGCAAGAUCUUUGUGAAGUCUGUGCAGCAUUGCAUUGACCUUGCCCAGCUCUUGGUGGAGCAGAACUUGCCAGCUAUUGCCAUUCAUUGUGGGAUGCCCUGGGAGGAGAUGUGAGUGAGAGAUGGAAAGAUGUCUUGUGUCCUUGGGAGGAAAUGAGACCCCUGAGAUAAAGGACUGUGAACAUAUUUAUGAUUGUCUUUCUGACAAAAGCUUUCUUGGUCACAGUAGUUUAAAGGUCUUCAAUAACGAAUUCUUGUGGCUAGCAACCUAUGUGGCCAAGGCAUGGACAUUAAGCCAGUGAACUCUGCCAUCAACUACCACUGGCCUGGGGAUUCCCACCCCUACCUGCAUCAGGAGGCCUGAGCAGGCCAGUUCCCCCAAGGGCUCGGCCAUCACAUUUGUGUCAGGUGAAAACAUGCCAAGAUCCUCAGUGAAGAGCAGGGUCACACCGAUGUCAGUAGUAGUGAGCUGCCUGAUGAGAUGGACGUUUCCUCCUCUGGUGAGUAUUGAUCCCAUGAAAUUGGUUCCUCCAACUCUUCAGAGUCUCCUUGUUCCUUAGAGACUUUGUCUUGAACCAUGUAGUGCAGGCAAUGGUGCCUGAUGCCUAAUGGGUGCCUGACAAGUUUAUGUCCCGCAACCUUGAUGCCAUGUUGGGAUGUUUUGUUCAUUUCUAUGUCCGGUCCCUUUCCUCUCGCACCCAAUUAAUUGUUUUUGCACCCCAGUGUCUCCUCUGACCCCACAUCCCACACCCCACACAAAACCUGCAUGUAUAGAGGUCUGUGUUUCUGUCAGUCUCACUUAGCCUUCCCAUGCCUUAUUGUAACUGCAUGUUUUCUCUGCAGUUGCAGCCAUGGGAGAGGAUGCACCCAUUCACAGAGCCUGAUGCAGGUCUCACACCCAGGAGCCAGGAGAGCCAGGAGAUCAUACAUGACCUGAGCUGAAAUCAAAAGUCAGAUGACUAACCCACUCAGACACUCCUACGGUUUAUACUCCCUAAUUAAUUUCUUUUUAAAAAUAUUUUAACUUUGAAUAUAGUUGAAAGACACAAUUACAUUAGUUUCAGGUGUAUAACACAGUGAUUCAAAUUCUAUUACAUUUUCUUUUUUUGAGAGAGAGACAGCCAGAGCAGGGAAGAGAGGCAGAGGAGGAGAGAGAGACAGAGAGAGAGAGAGAGAAUAGAGAUUCUCAAGCAGGCUGAUUCCUGCGGGGCUGGAUCCCAUGACCCUGGGACCAUGACCAGAGAACCCACUGCCACCCAGGGGCCCUUCACCCUCUGUCUACACCAUGCUGUGCUCACCAGAGUGUAGCUGCCACCUGUCACCAGACAGUGAUGUUACAGUAUCACUCAUGAUAUUCCCUGUGCUGUGCCUUUUAUUCCUAAGACCUGUUCCUUCCAUAACUGGAGCCUGUGUCUCCCACUCCCCUCACCCACUGUGCCCAUCCUCCCACCCUCCUUCCCUCUGGCAGUCAUCAGUGAGUUCUCUGUAUUUAUAGGUCUGAUUCUGCUGUUUGCUUGUCUAUUCAUUCAUUUGUCUUGUUUUGUAAGUUCCACAUAAGAGUGAGAUCAUGUGGUAUUUGUCUUUCUCAGUCUGAUUUCUUUCACUUAGCAGACACACUGCCCUGUUUGUCCAUCCAUGUUGUCACAAGUGGCAAGAUCUCAUCCUUUUUGUGGCCGCAUAAUAGUGUAUCAUGUGUAUUUGUAUAUGUGUGUAUAUACCACACAUCUUCCUUAGCCAUUUGUCUACGGGUGGACACAGAUUGUAUCAGGGUGACAUUUACAAGAACCUCAAACACUGAACAUCAUCUGGGAUGAGGGCGCCUCCUGGGGUCCAGGCCCCUGUCCAGGUGCUGGAGCUGAAGAAGACGCGAGGGAGGGCCUGGCUGAGGUGGAGAAAGGCAGCUGGGUCUUCCCUCCUUAGUCCUGUGGCCUCACGUGGGGUGGAAGGUCAGGGGACAUCCCCUACUUCUCUGCUCUCAGGUGGAUUCUGACUGAGAAGCCUGAGUGGGGUCUGGACUAUAAGUCAGGUAGAGAUGUCUGAGCAGAAGCCUGGGUGUCAGUGGGGAGAGGAAGAACUUUCUCAACAGCCCUGGACUCCACAGGGGUCAGGCUCAGGAGUGAGGAGGGAUUGCGGGAGAGGAGAGCUCAGGAGCCCGUGCCAUUGCUGAGGUGUCUGUGUCCCUGUGCACCUGGUCCUCCAGCCCCGUGAUGGUGAUACAGGGAAAACCGAAAAGUAGAAACACUUCCUUGGACUCCUACUUCUAAAUGUUUCAAAACUCAGUGAAA